rnacentral:lncRNA from 1 species
GCUAAUAUAAUGAGGAAUUAUAAUACAGCAACCAAACAUGUUCUUGGGAUAUGUUUUUCUGAACUAGAGAUGACAUCACUAGCAUCUGGUCUUUCUCUUUGAGACAGCUGAGAGAGUGAGGUGCCGUGAGAGAUGCAAUCGAUGGGGGGGUAGAGAGAGGUAGCCGACAGUGAGAAUGGUAAGGAAGAACGGAGCGUAGUGAGAUUAGUGGAUUGGUGAGGAAGAGCGUGAGGGAGAGAAUGAGAGAGCAUGUGUUGUGGUUGAGAAUGUUGCAAUUGAAAAUUUACUGUAACCUUUUAUGCUUGCCUCAAAACUCACCGUUUUGUGCUAACUGUUGUGCUCAAUGUUGUAAGAAUAUCGGAACUGUUAUAAAUUUGUUUCUAAAUAGAAAACUCUUUUGUGGAGUCAAUAUUUUGAAAACCAAAGUCUCGAGUUCUUUCUCGUGCGUGCCUGGCCAGCAUCCUAAACCUUACUGCUAGCCGGAGAAUGGCGUAAAACGGCGGCGAUCUUCUUCUUCAUCUUUUUCUCUCUGUCAUCGUUUCAGGUAACCUUGUGAUUAUGAGUUUCUUCUCUUUCUUAGCUUGCAAAAAUAGGUUUUGAUUUCUUUAAUUCGUAUUGUAGCCAUUAAUAUCAAUUUUUGUCCUGCCGGCAAUAUUUUUUUGUUCCUAGAGGUUGAAGCCCUUCUGUUCUUGUUCCAUUGGUGACUUUGCUCACUCAAAUUAAUUUUGUUCUGCAGAAUUUACAAAGUUCAAAUGGAUUCGUUUGGAUUACUAUUGAAUUUAGCUUUCAUUUCAACAUUCAUUCUAAUGUUUUACAAUUAUGUAUUUAGAUUUACUUUAAUUUUAUGUUUAAAGCUUCUGCAAUGAAUAGCUGAGCUUGGGUCUUAGUUUCAUUUUCUAAUUAACUUGUUUUAGUUUAUCUUAUAUGCUCACCAAGUGCUUGUUAUAUUGUCUGAUAGGUUAUAUAACAUUGCUGAUUCUAUAUUAAUAAUGUCAUGUUCCAUUUUCAGAAAUUAUAAUAUAAAAGUUUUUACAAUGGGGUGCAUCUACAAACUGAAUUGACUUGUAGAGUAAGAGCUUGGAGUAGUGUUGCAUUCUUGAAUAAAUGAAAGUUCAUAUUGUGUAAGAGCAUGUAGAUGUAAAGCAUCAUUACCAUUUCUACCAAGUGCUUUCAUUCCGUUCAGAUGCUCCACUUGAACUUUGGAAGGUGCCUCAUUCAAGUCCUAGCUAUAACUAAUAGCUCUGAUUAAUUAAGUUCAUGUGCUAGCUGAAACAGAUUUAAUUAAUUAAUUAAUUAAUUGUGUAUGUACUAAUUAUAUUGAAAGUAUAUGAAGAAAUUGUUUAACAUGAAUGACUUCUAAAUGACUUAAAAGCCUAGAGGAUAAGUGAAAUAAUGCUCAUUUCACUUGAAUGAGCCUAUUAAUACUUGUAUGUCUAUGAUUGUCAAUAUUGCUUAAGUGUUUCAGUUAAGUGGUUUACCUAGCAGGGAAAAAAAUUUAAUGGAAAACCUUAGAGUUUUAAUAGAAAUAUAGUUCACUAUGCAGAUAUAGUUAUUUUACGGUAUAUAAAUCAUGUUGUCCUAUUCUCAAUGUCCUACAACCUAUUUUAUUUUAUAUAGUCAUUCAUUUUUACGAUGGUUUUUUGUGUUUAUGAGUAUGGAAAUAGUGGGAUUUGGUGUACCUUAGCAUCUUUCGAAAAUUCUCUUUAAAUGCGGCAAACAAAAAUAUACAUAUAAUCAAGUUUCUUAAUCAUGUAUAUUAGGUUUGGGUACGAAUGUUUUCCUAUUCUAGUUCUAGGCCAAGUUUCUUCAUUUUGGUCUUCAGAUUUCCAGUAGGUUAAGCUAAUCAACUAUCAUAACUGGCUAGCUAGUUAUUGCCUGCCUUGUCGCCAUUACCGACGCCAUUACAUUGCAUGGCAUAGGGAAUAGUAACUAUGUGAUUAUUGGUGAUUUGUUGAGCUUAUUAUUGACCAAACAAACAUAUUCGCCUUUACCCACAACUUGGUUUGAUUAGUUACUGGACAAUAAAGAGCCUUAAUCUAUGCAUUGGCUUUCUUAUUUUUAUUUGGUUUUUCUUUCAACAAUAUUGUUGAUUUCUUAAUCAUUGGCUAUUUAAUGAAGCUAAUUAAAACUAAGGCUUCGGAUCACUUUCUUCUAACAACAAACAAAUGAGGAUAACCUAUCUCCUCUAAGCAAAUUUUUCUAAUAUCCUUGAUUUGUUAGGACCUGGAGGCCUGAAAUCCUCUAGAUUUUUUUAGCAUUGCCAAUGUUCCUUUUAUUCUGAAAAGGAAAAAAAGGUUAUAUCGUUUAUACCCUAACAGUAAAAUGGCCUUUGACUUAACAUGCCUUCCUGAGGAUUUGCAAGAUUCACAAGCAGCCUAGCCACCCCCCAACGCAAAAAAAAUAAAAAAUAAUAAAAAUAUAAAAUAUAAAAUAUAAAAACCCAAAUAGGAAGACUUUGCAACAUUCACAACGUGGUUACAUUUAAGUUAUUAAUUGUGUGUGUGUGUACUAGUUAUAUGUUGAUAGUAUAGGAAGAAGUAUUUUAACAUGGAUGACUUAAAACUUAUUGCUCAGUAAACAUAGUCUGCAUCAGUGCUAGAAAAUGUAUUCAUUGUUUGUAUUUUUUAUGGUUUUGAUUAAGAAAUGAAAUGUGAAAAAAUGCUACAUUGUAUUAGGAAUAAAUUGAAGAGAUUUAUGAUAUUUAUGUGUUAUUCAAGUUUCAGAUUCAAUUUUAAACUUUUGAUACAUGCAUUGAAAGCUUAAACUCCUUUAAGAAGUUAUUGAUAGACACAUGUUUUAUUAGUGUCAUCUUUGGAUGAUAGUGAGGAUCUUAUGUCUAUUAAUAAUUCUUGAAUUAUCCAGGCUCGGACAUUUUGGUAAUGCAUAGUUUUCUAUGGUAACUAGUACCUGAAAUUUUUUUCCCACAAAAAAUGGGCUUUUCAGUAGCUGCUCCUCAUAUUCUGGGUGCAUACUAGACGAAUGGGUGUCGUUUUGUUUUGGGAUAACACAUAAACACUCAUAUAUCUAUGUCAUGUACUUGAAGAACUAUAGGGAGAUGCUUCCGAAAUUUCUAUAAACGUAGAGGAAAACUUUAGAUACUUAAGGUUGAAGAAACUUAUGCAUUCUUGAGUGGGAUAUAGAGGACCACUUACCUUUUGUAAUAUGAAGGGAAUGUUGGAUAUAUUGAUGGGAGUGGAUGAGCUGAGUGGGAUGAAUGUAAACGGUUAUGAUUUUGCUGAGUUGACUUGGUUUUGAGUCUUGUAAUUUUGUUUAUAAAUGGAGUACUAUCUCCAAUGUUGGUUUAUAAAUAUGUUUCAGCUGGCUGACCUAAUUUUUUAUUUCUAGGUAACAGGCUUUAUAUAUUCGUAAUUGAUAGCCAAGUGAAGUUCUCAGCAGUGGGUGAGGAUAUUUCUUUACAGAAGGUAUUGGAAACUGUUUUUCACAUUAAUUAGUAUUGUAUACAUACUUUAAUUUCACAUCUUUUUCUCUGAUUCUUGUGGCUUUGCUUGCUUUCAUAUAUAUAAACAUUCUAAUGAGAUUAACAUAAAAUUGUAUAAUGAUUUUUUUUAAUUAUAAAUUGCGCGCACACGAAAAUAUCUUGUUUAGUAGUAGAAAUGAAGAACUAAAAUGAUUUAUUUAACUAAUUUUUCUAGUGCAUUAAAAGGAGAUAGUCAUGGACAAGAGUUGGGUUGGUUUGCCAAAUAGAUAUCCAAGUCAUAUACUGAUGGGGUUGAAAAAUUUAUAGAUUUUGCAUUUGAGAAUGUUGUUGGUGAUAAAAGAAUUUAUUGUCCUUGUAAGAAGUGUCGUAAUAUCGAUAUUUCAUUAUAAGGGAAGUGGCAAGAGACCAUAUCAUUACAAAUGGCUUUUGGUUAAAGUAUUGAAACUGGAUAUUGCAGGGUGAGCCAUCUUCAUCUUUGAAAUCUAACUAAGAAACAGGUUAGUCAUGACUCGGGUGCUGAUGAUAGUAUGGUUGGAGUGAUACACGAUGCAUCACAUAAUCAAGUGUUCAAGUUACACGCAGCAUUGUUAUGUUAUGGACUAUCAGUGACUUUCUAACAUAUGCCAACUUGUUUGGGUAGAGUAUUAAAGGUAAAUAAGCAUUUCUUGUUUGCCAACAAAACACUAGUUCUAAUUGGUUGAUACAUAAUAGAAAAUUUUGUUACUGGGUUACCGUCGAUUCUUACCAACGAAUCAUAGGUUUCGCAAAUAUAGUGUCUUUUGAUAAAACUAGGGGGUAGGGAUAAACGCCUUCUCGGUUGUCUUGAACUGACGUGAAAAAGCAGGUGAAUAAUAUAUUUACUAAGUAUAAGAUUGAAGACCUGAAAAGAGGAGAAUGAAUAAAAUGAAAGAAAUGAUAAGAUUACUUGGAAGAAGAAAAGCAUUUUUUAUGAACUAACGUAUUGGGAGUUCAACUUGAUUCAUCAUAAUCUUGAUGUCAUGCAUAUGAUCUACUUUCUUUCAUUUUCUCACCUCCCAAACAUCCAUUAUACAAUAAAGUUUUUUUAGAUUUUAUUGUUUCAUAGAAUUAUAUUUUGCAUAUGAUGAAAUAACUUAACAUUUUAGUAUUCAUUUGCAUAUAAUAAUUAUAAGUAAGAAAAAAUAAUUGCUUACAAUUACUACUAGUUUUAUUGUCGUGAUUACAAAUAAAUUGCUCAAAUUUUCUGCUUCAGCUAUCAAACCUUUUAGCUGCUUCCAGACAUGAAGAAAUUAAACCCAUAAUUUCUAGGUACAAUUGCAUUCGUAUAUGCCAUGAUACAUAUGAUAUGAUUAGAACCAAAAGGAGAAAUAAAUUUUUGGGACUUAUUGUGAUGGUGAUUAAUCUUUUUCUACCUUAACUUUGAUAAGGUUAUAAUUAAAUUUUAUAUGAUUAAAGUGGUCAAUGGUUAAAUAAAUAAAUAAAUAAAAUAGAUGAGGAUGGACUAAUGAAAUGACCCACCCCCGAACUCCACAAGGUGAGUCUAUGUAAUAUCGUCUUACUUGACUGAUAAUAAUCUAAUUAGUAAGGAUUUUACCGAAAAUUUGAUAGAGUCUCCACUUUGAAUAUAACAUUUCCAACCUGCAAAUGUGUAAAACAAGCACUCUCAAAAUAAAUCAGUAUACAACCAACUUCAUUGAUUAACCUCCUCAACUAUAUUACUGAAUAUUACCCAAAAUAUCUACAAAGUAUCAAAAGAUUAUUUAUACCUACUGUUGACAUAUAUUAAGCUAUUUUUAAUCACAAAAAAUAUUACAAAAUUAUAUAAUCCAAAAAAAAAAGAAAUCAAAAUGCCCUGACAAUAUAAUCUAUAUCUCCUAGUACCAUCACAUGGCCAAAAUUCAAAAUACUAUAGUUGCUAAGUCAACUGGUGUCUUGCAACCUCCUGAGGGGUGGGAGGGAAUUAUAAUAAAACGGGUGAGUAUAAAACUCAGUGAGCUCGGUGAGUGGAUAAUAGUUUUUGAAAAUAACUUACCAUAAAUAAUUAUACCACUUUUAUAUAUGAUUUUAUCAAACUGUAUGUAAGAAACAUGAAUAAAUUAUUUAACCUUUGAAUCAAGUAAUUGACAUUGAAAAGAAUACAUUAAGAGGUGCAUAAUAAUCAUGGAAAUUGUAUCACAAUAUAAAAUACAUGAUUAUGAAAUUAUCACAAAACAAGUACCUAAGGGAAUAAUCUUGUCGUACCUAGAGCUCAUACGGGCAAUGCAAUGACAUAUUCUCUAGGUACUGUCAUCCUCGGAGCUAGCACCGGUAGAUCAAUGAAGUGUCAUCUUAUAUAUCUUAUCAUAUCUUUGCAUGCAUAAACUAGUCCCCAAAAGACAAAGGUGCCCAAUCACAUAAUCCAAGGCCUCUGUGAGCCCCAAAGGCCCCUAUCUCGUCUGUAUAUUAGUAACUGAAUCUUUGUUAUCAUCAUAUUUCAUGCAUAAGCGUUCAAAAGGCAAAAGUGCCCAACUAGACGGCCCAAAGCCUCUCUGUGUGUUCAGACGGGCCCCAAAGUCCUCUCAUCUCAUCUGUAUAAUUGUAAUUGGAGGGGAAGGGCAUUGUUCAACGAGUUUGAGAACAAACUUAUAUAUAUACACACAUAAACAUUUUAAUCAUACUUUAAACUCUUAUUUCCUUUUCAUUACAUACUUUAAAUUUGAUUUUCUUUUCUUUAUAUUACUCUCAUGUAUAUACUCAAAAUCGAUAAUAAAACCAAUAAUCAUACUUUUUAAUAAUAAAUAUCAAUACUUAAAUAAAACCUAUUUCUAGAAAAUCAUUAGAUCGGAGCAUUAAACACUUAUUUCCCAAACAUGCUUUACUAUACUUUAAAAUCAUAAUAAAAUAUGAAAAAUAGGUUUUGCCUAUUUCACUCACCGUGACGAUAUUCAAACUCGGCUAUCAUUAAUGUCUGUAGGAUGGUUCUCACUCACUAUUCCCCCUAAAUCAAGGAUACGACAUAAUUACUUUCCAUAAAUGUGAAAUACAACUAACUGUAUGUAAUAUACUCGAAACGAACAUCUAUCCACAAUAUGCUACUCCUAUGUCUGUAACGUUACCAAAAAUACCCCCAAAAUCAUAAAUUGUCAAACAACCCUCAAAAUCAUAAAUUACCAAACUAUCCUCUAUAAAAUAUUAUUAAAAUAUCCACAAAGUCAGAAAUUAAAAAAUUACCAUCAAAAUAUAAAAUUAUCAAAAUGCCCUCGUCGGUCAAUGGUGAUCGGGAGUCAAGUGAUGGUGGUUGGAAUGGCCAAGAUAAAUGCUUUGGACCACGCUGAAUUUAAUGGUGGCAAAUUGACCAUUUCUGGUGACAUGGGUGAUUAAAAAUUGUAGAGGGUGUCGUGAGGGAGAAAACUAAGCAGUAGUGUGCCACAAGUUCGACGAAAUCUCAUCAAAUCGAGGUGGUAGUACCACAGCUCUUCACAUUCUUGAUCGGUGGUCUUUUAGCAGUUAUUUAGUGACCAUGAUGGUUAGGGAAUGACUAGCAUUGGUUGAGGAUUCGAUCGAUACCUUCUGUUGUCGAUAGAGUGGCCGAAAAUAGUAGUUAGCAGUGGGUGGGGUUUCAAUUCUAUCAGUUAGGUUGAUAGCUCUUCCUCUCUUUGUUUUUCUCUUUCCCUCGAUUCCGUGUCAUAACAAGUUUAAACUAGUUCAAACUCGAACCAUUUAACAAGCGUGUCAAAUUUAACAACCCACACUCAUUUAUUCAUGUUGAGUAAUUGAGUCGUAUCAAAUCUGCCAAUAACAAUUAUAAUAAUGACUUCUAAAACUUCAAGUCAAAGAGGAGGAUAAAAUAAUGCACUUGAUUAAACAUAAAAUGCAUAUGUUACAACUAAUCACUAUUCAAAAUAUUAAGAGUGGAGUAGCAAAUGUCAAUUUAUUUGGUUGCAAUCAAAUUUAUCCUAUGAUAAAUAGUGAUUAUUAAAUAAUAUAUAGAUCUAUUAUAUAGUAAAUUAAUAAUAUAUAUUAAUGAAAAUUUAAAAAUAAAUUAUUUAAAAAAGUCAAACUAGGUAAUGGACUUAAAUGUGAAAAUUUAAAAUAAUUUGGAGUUAUGUGUCAAAAUAUUGAAACUUUGUCAUUUUUUAAUGUGCAAGCAAAUAAUAGGGACUAUAGACUUAAUAAACUAUUAAAUCCAUCUAAGCCACUAAGCUACGUUUAUGUUAAAUCUAAUGGUUAGUAAUAGCUAAUAAGAAAAGGACAAAAAUUGGGGAAUGAUGUCACAGGGACACCAUAGUCGGACCCAUUAUUAAUGUUUAGUGCAAGUAUUUUCUGAAAUAACAACUACAUAAUUAUUAUCUUAUGUAUCUAAUGAGAUUAUUAAUUUAGUAUAUUGGCCCAAGUUAGAAACGUAAGAUUUUGUUAUUUAAUCAAGUAUAUUAAUUUAUAAAACAUUCAUUUAUUGAGAUUUUAUUGUACAUUACAUUUGCACACUUUAUUUUUAAUGUGAAGUAAAAACUAAUGUUACAUAUGAACUUAUUGCUGACAACAUUAGUACAUAAUUGCUGUCAUAAGAAAAUUUAUCAAUCCAGGAAUUUUGGAUUUUAUAAAGUCUUACAAGUGAAAAGAGUAGUUUAUAACAUUGUAAAUGUGACCUCGACCUGGAAGCGAACUCGGCUGUCAUAAAUUGAUCAAAGCCACACUUAACUUCUACUACUACUUGCAUUGUUACCACCGUCUUCAGCCUUCUGCUUUGCCCAUUCAGAAAAAAAAAAAAAAAUUAUAUAACUUUUGUCAGCCAACAAUUAUAAUAAACUAAAAACAUGUCCAAAGAUUCAAAAUUUUUUUUUUCCCUUUUUUUGGUUUUACCUCCUCUGACAUAUCAAAUCCUAUUGCCGUGAAAAGUUUCCCUUGCAGCACAUAAUUUUGCCACAGCAUCUCUCAUCUCCAUUCGCUCAGUUGGAGACUCCAUUGAGCAGGAAACCCCAAUUCCAAUUACAGCAGACAAGCAUUGCUCAGUCCUGACUCUUAUCUCUCCAUCACUAUUUCUUGCAAUUUCCUCAGUUAGAAGUGAAGGCUCAACAAUAUUCACCACUUCUUCUGGCAAAGCCCUUUUGGCAAAUUCAUGGAGGGUUAAGCCAUCAUUGAACAUGCUGUCCGUGGGCCGCUUUCCUGUGAACAUUUCUAGCAAAAGAAUUCCGAAGCUGUACACAUCACCUCGCAUGGAGACUUCGCCACCCGUACCGUACUCUGAAAAAAACAUGUUAGAUAUAUUACUCAGUUAGUUGCCAC